rnacentral:lncRNA from 1 species
UGUGGGAAGGUGCACACAGCAAAGGGGAGGGGCUUGGCGUCUGUGUGGGAAGGUGCACACAGCACAGGAGGAGGGGCUUGGUGUCUGUGUGGGAAGGUGCACCCAGCACAGGAGGAGGGGCUUGGUGUCUGUGAUUGAGGGCUGCAGAUGGUUGAAUGCACGUGGCAGGUGGUAACUGGCCGGGUCUCGGUGGUAACUGGCCGGGUCUCGGUGGUAACUGGCCGGGUCUCGGUGGUAACUGGCGCGGGUCUCGGGUGGUAACUGGCCGGGUCUCGGUGUAACUGGCCGGUCUCGGGUGGGUAACUGGCCGGGUCUCGGGUGGUAACUGGCCGGGUCUCGGUGGUAACUGGCGGGUCUCGGGUGGUAACUGGCUGGGUCUCUUCUCAGGUGACUCUGGAACUGAUCCGAUCUGGACAUCCUGAUGACCUCAGGGCUGUUCAAACACACCUGGAUAGAAUCACAGCAUCUGGUCUGAAACAGUCAAACGAUGCAGCGAUUGAAUUUGCUGAAGCCAACUUCCUGAAGCUGAUCCAGAGCCUAGUGGAAGACCAGAUAGGAGGGAACACUUCUUCAAGGUGAGAGAGAGCCUAGUGGAAGACCCAGAUAGGAGGGAACACUUCUUCAAGGUGAGAGAGAGCCUAGUGGAAGACCCAGAUAGGAGGGAACACUUCUUCAAGGUGAGAGAGAGCCUAGUGGAGACCCAGAUAGGAGGGAACACUUCUUCAAGGUGAGAGAGAGCCUAGUGGAAGACCCAGAUAGGAGGGAACACUUCUUCAAGGUGAGAGAGAGCCUAGUGGAAGACACCAGAUAGGAGGGAACACUUCUUCAAGGUGAGAGAGAGCCUAGGGAAGACCCAGAUAGGAGGGAACACUUUUUCAAGGUGAGAGAGAGCCUAGUGGAAGACCCAGAAUAGGAGGGAACACUUCUUCAAGGUGAGAGAGAGCCUAGUGGAA